GCGGAAGUGGCGAAAUUGGUAGACGCACCAGAUUUAGGUUCUGGCGCCGUGAGGUGUGAGAGUUCGAGUCUCUCCUUCCGCACCA
rnacentral:tRNA from 2 species